AUUUAAAGCUGAUUGAAAUGGCAUUUUUUGCCACCUGAGCGUAGUCGAAGGGCAAAAAAUAUAAUGAAAAGCAGGACGAACA
rnacentral:sRNA from 1 species